AGAUAGAAGGAAUUGUUUUUAGAAAGAUAGAGAGAUACAGAAAAAGAAGAAAUAGAAGGGAUGAAGAAAUCUUGUUUGGAAAUGAUGAUGGCCAAUGUGAUUGUGAAGAGGAAGAUUUUAUAUUGUAUAAAGUGAGGAAUAGGAUAAAGUUAAGAGAAUUAAAUAUCAAGAGAGAAUAGAGAAUGAUGAAUAAGAGGAUGAAAAAGACUUGGUACAAGGAUAAUGAUGAUCAAUUUGAUUGCAAGAAGAUUGAUAUUGUAAUAAAUGAAAAGAUAUAUAGGAUUGUAAAAGAAGAAAUAAAGAGUGCAUAAUAUAGAGAUGAAGAAAUUGCAUCAUAUUUCUAUGUUAUUAACUUUAAGUGUAACAUUAAUCACACAAAAAGCACAUUAAUCAAGAAACUUACACGUGCUCAAAGUGAUGAUAGUUCGACAAACAUACUCCCAGAAGAUUUUCCUCUUCUGUAUCUUUUGAUCCAGAUAAGUAUUCCAAAUAAUAUCGACUGGAACAUAUCCUUGAAGAGCAUGCGUAAUAAAAA